rnacentral:rRNA from 1 species
CACGAAGCCGGAGUUGCUAGUAAUCGCGAAUCAGAAUGUCGCGGUGAAUGCGUUCCCGGGUCUUGUACACACCGCCCGUCACACCAUGGAAGUUGGGGGUGCCCAAAGCCGGCAAGCAAAUAUGCUGUCUAAGGCAAAACCAAUGACUGGGGUGAAGUCGUAACAAGGUAUC